rnacentral:rRNA from 1 species
UAGGGAAUCUUCCACAAUGGGCGAAAGCCUGGUGGAGCAACGCCGCGUGUGUGAUGAAGGGUUUCGGCUCGUAAAACACUGUUGUAAGAGAAGAAUGACAUUGAGAGUAACUGUUCAAUGUGUGACGGUAUCUUACCAGAAAGGAACGGCUAAAUACGUGCUAG